rnacentral:lncRNA from 1 species
AUUUUGUUUUGUGUCUGAGUAUCCGUGUGAGCCCGUGCACGACCACCUCUGGAUGUGUGUUUGUGAGUGCCUGCAGGAGGCUCUGUGGACCCUAGAAAUAAGCAAGACUGACCCUCUAGGUGGCUUUUGGGAUAUACCCAAGCCUAGCUGAGGAGGACAAGGGGCUUGUUUUUUGGCACAGCCUUCCCCACUCUAAGUUUGAGAGUCCCUGGGCAGCGGUGGGUCUCAGAGCUCUGCUUUUCUACCUCCAGAGACAGGGUGCUCACUACCCCACCUGAUACCUCCUGGCUUAUCUUUAGAUGGCUCUGACUGUUAAGAACGAAAUUCAUCCUUCUUGAGAGAAUUCUGGUACUCCUGAGGGUCAGGUUCAGCUGCACCUCAUGCCUACAACACCCACAUCUCUACCUGCAAGCCAGAUCCUGCUCCUCAAAGGCACCACCUGCCAUAUGCCUGAGCACUGAGCUGGGCACCAAGAAUACAGAGACAAAAGACGCCAUCAGAGAUUUGUAGCACGUGGGAUGCCGCCUCAGCAUGGCUUGAUGAGCGGUGCCGUGUCUGCGCCCAGGAUCCAAA